rfam:Physcomitrella patens subsp. patens PHYPAscaffold_36 genomic scaffold, whole genome shotgun sequence.
GAGGAGGUGAGGAUACUUUCCCCAUUGAUCGACUCUGAUUCCAUCUGUGCUAAUCAGGUCAAAAGAGCCAAGCCAGGAAAACUGAUCCUU